AAUAGAUACCCCGGUAGUCCACGCCGUAAACGAUGGAUACUAGCUGUUCGUCCGCCUCGGCGGAUGAGUGGCUAAGCGAAAGUGAUAAGUAUCCCACCUGGGGAGUACGAACGCAAGUUUGAAACUCAAAGGAAUUGACGGGGGCCCGCACAAGCGGUGGAGCACGUGGUUUAAUUCGAUGAUACGCGAGGAACCUUACCAAGGCUUAAAUGUAGAUUGACAGGACUGGAAACAGUUUUUUCUUCGGACAAUUUACAAGGUGCUGCAUGGUUGUCGUCAGCUCGUGCCGUGAGGUGUCAGGUUAAGUCCUAUAACGAGCGCAACCCCUGUUGUUAGUUGCCAGCGAGUCAAGUCGGGAACUCUAACAAGACUGCCAGUGUAAACUGUGAGGAAGGUGGGGAUGACGUCAAAUCAUCACGGCCCUUACGCCUUGGGCUGCACACGUGCUACAAUGGCCGGUACAGAGAGCAGCCACUGCGCGAGCAGGAGCGAAUCUAUAAAACCGGUCACAGUUCGGAUCGGAGUCUGCAACUCGA
rnacentral:rRNA from 1 species